rnacentral:rRNA from 1 species
ACGAACGCUGGCGGCGUGCUUAACACAUGCAAGUCGAACGGAAAGGCCCUGCUUUUGUGGGGUGCUCGAGUGGCGAACGGGUGAGUAACACGUGAGUAACCUGCCCUUGACUUUGGGAUAACUUCAGGAAACUGGGGCUAAUACCUGAUAGGAGCUCCUGCUGCAUGGUUGGGGUUGGAAAGUUUCGGCGGUUGGGGAUGGACUCGCGGCUUAUCAGCUUGUUGGUGGGGUAGUGGCUUACCAAGGCUUUGACGGGUAGCCGGCCUGAGAGGGUGACCGGCCACAUUGGGACUGAGAUACGGCCCAGACUCCUACGGGAGGCAGCAGUGGGGAAUAUUGCACAAUGGGCGGAAGCCUGAUGCAGCAACGCCGCGUGCGGGAUGACGGCCUUCGGGUUGUAAACCGCUUUCGCCUGUGACGAAGCGUGAGUGACGGUAAUGGGUAAAGAAGCACCGGCUAACUACGUG